GACGAACGCUGGCGGCGUGCCUAAUACAUGCAAGUUGAGCGAUGAAGAUUGGUGCUUGCACCAAUUUGAAGAGCAGCGCACGGGUGAGUAACGCGUGGGGAAUCUGCCUUUGAGCGGGGGACAACAUUUGGAAACGAAUGCUAAUACCGCAUAACAACUUUAAACAUAAGUUUUAAGUUUGAAAGAUGCAAUUGCAUCACUCAAAGAUGAUCCCGCGUUGUAUUAGCUAGUUGGUGAGGUAAAGGCUCACCAAGGCGAUGAUACAUAGCCGACCUGAGAGGGUGAGCGGCCACACUGGGACGGUGACACGGCCCAAACGCCUACGGGAGGCAGCAGGAGGGAAUCUUCGGCAAUGGACGAAAGUCUGGCCGAGCAACGCCGCGGGAGUGAAGAAGGUUGUCGGAUCGUAAAACUCGGUUGGUAGAGAAGAACGUUGGUGAGAGUGGAAAGCUCAUCAAGUGACGGUAACUACCCAGAAAGGGACGGCUAACUACGUG
rnacentral:rRNA from 1 species